GACGAACGCUGGCGGCGUGCUUAACACAUGCAAGUCGAACGGAAAGGCCCUGCUUUUGUGGGGUGCUCGAGUGGCGAACGGGUGAGUAACACGUGAGUAACCUGCCCUUGACUUUGGGAUAACUUCAGGAAACUGGGGCUAAUACCGGAUAGGAGCUCCUGCUGCAUGGUGGGGGUUGGAAAUUUUCGGCGGUUGGGGAUGGACUCGCGGCUUAUCAGCUUGUUGGUGGGGUAGUGGCUUACCAAGGCUUUGGCGGGUAGCCGGCCUGAGAGGGUGACCGGCCACAUUGGGACUGAGAUACGGCCCAGACUCCUACGGGAGGCAGCAGUGGGGAAUAUUGCACAAUGGGCGGAAGCCUGAUGCAGCCACGCCGCGUGCGGGAUGACGGCCUUCGGGUUGUAAACCGCUUUCGCCUGUGACGAAGCGUGAGUGACGGUAAUGGGUAAAGAAGCACCGGCUAACUACGUG
rnacentral:rRNA from 1 species